GAUGAACGCUAGCGGCAGGCCUAACACAUGCAAGUCGAACGGUAACAUUGGUGCUUGCAUCAGAUGACGAGUGGCGCACGGGUGAGUAACGCGUAUGCAAUCUGCCUUUAACUGAGGGAUAGCCCAGAGAAAUUUGGAUUAAUACCUCAUAAUAUUGUUUUUCAGCAUUUUAAAACAAUUAAAACUUCGGUGGUUAAAGAUGAGCAUGCGUCCUAUUAGCUUGUUGGUAAGGUAACGGCUUACCAAGGCUACGAUAGGUAGGGGGCCUGAAAGGGUGAUCCCCCACACUGGUACUGAGACACGGACCAGACUCCUACGGGAGGCAGCAGUGAGGAAUAUUGCGCAAUGGAGGAAACUCUGACGCAGCCACGCCGCGUGCAGGAAGACGGCCCUACGGGUUGUAAACUGCUUUUAUAUAGGAAGAAACCCCGAUACGUGUAUCGGCUUGACGGUACUAUAUGAAUAAGGACCGGCUAACUCCGUGCCAGCAGCCGCGGUAAUACGGAGGGUCCAAGCGUUAUCCGGAUUUAUUAGGUUUAAAGGGUCCGCAGGCGGGAUUUUAAGUCAGUGGUGAAAGCCUACAGCUCAACUGUAGAACUGCCAUUGAAACUGAUAUCCUUGGGUGUGGUUGAAGUGGGCGGAAUAUGUCAUGUAGCGGUGAAAUGCUUAGAUAUGACAUAGAACACCAAUUGCGAAGGCAGCUCACUAAGCCAUUACUGACGCUGAGGGACGAAAGCGUGGGGAGCGAACAGGAUUAGAUACCCUGGUAGUCCACGCCGUAAACGAUGAUCACUCGUUGCUAGCGAUAUACUGUUAGUGACCAAGCGAAGGUGUUAAGUGAUCCACCUGGGAAGUACGUUCGCAAGAAUGAAACUCAAAGGAAUUGACGG
rnacentral:rRNA from 1 species